CCUCAAAUUGGCUUCAAAUAGUGAUGGCAAGCAUUAUUUACAUCACAGAGGGGCAGACAAUGCAGUGGCUGAUCAGAGCUUUCCUGAUACCAUCAUGCUUUUUAGAGGCCUCUGCUCUGCCAGCCUGGGAGUCAUCUUCACCCUCAGGCUGGUAGACUCCAGUCUCUGAGGUCAGAAUGGGAUUAGAGACCCGUUCCUGAACCAGUCACACACAGGGGGCGAAACUGCUAUGAUUGGUUUAGACUUAGAGACUGGAAUGGAUGCUGGCCUACAAGUGAAGACACAUAGAAGCAAUGUGUAGCCAGAUUGUGGUCCUAAAUGCCAUUUCCUACCAGGAAGGAACCAGGGUCUUUGGAGAAAUGUAUCAUUUCACAUCUGGGAACUGGACCAAGGGAAGAGGACACAGAAGGUAAAAGGAAGCCAGACCAGCAUGUUCUCCCACUCUAGUGCUCCUACCAAGAGGCUUUGAUAAGCAAUCACAAUUGUCCCCAGUGACAUGAAAGAAAAAGUGAAGCAUCCUGUAGGGAUGCAUAGCAUGACAUCUACAUAGACUUGGGUCAUGGAAGGAAACUGUCACCACAUACAAGUUCAAGGGAAAUGUUCAGCCUCCAGGGUAGGCAAUCCCUAAUUUAUAACUCUUUACCUGUUGCUAGACAUUUUGACUGCAUGUGGAAGAAUAAGGAGUAGAUAGCUAGACAGAGAAGAUUUUGGAAGAGAGCAGGAAGGAAAAGCAUACAGCAUGAGAAAAGACCUGAAACACUCAAGAAAGCCCAGCAGGGCUAUAUGGUAAACA